rnacentral:rRNA from 1 species
UACGGGGGGGGCAAGCGUUGUUCGGAAUUACUGGGCGUAAAGGGCUCGUAGGCGGCCAACUAAGUCAGACGUGAAAUCCCUCGGCUUAACCGGGGAACUGCGUCUGAUACUGGAUGGCUUGAGUUCGGGAGAGGGAUGCGGAAUUCCGGGUGUAGCGGUGAAAUGCGUAGAUAUCUGGAGGAACACCGGUGGCGAAGGCGGCAUCCUGGACCGACACUGACGCUGAGGAGCGAAAGCCAGGGGAGCAAACGGG